GGUCGGUUGACCGAGUGGCUAGGUAGCGGUCUGCAAAACCGUGUACGGCGGUUCGACUCCGCCACCGACCU
rnacentral:tRNA from 1 species